rnacentral:rRNA from 1 species
GAUGAACGCUGGCGGCGUGCCUAAUACAUGCAAGUCGAGCGAAUGGAUUAAGAGCUUGCUCUUAUGAAGUUAGCGGCGGACGGGUGAGUAACACGUGGGUAACCUGCCCAUAAGACUGGGAUAACUCCGGGAAACCGGGGCUAAUACCGGAUAACAUUUUGAACCGCAUGGUUCGAAAUUGAAAGGCGGCUUCGGCUGUCACUUAUGGAUGGACCCGCGUCGCAUUAGCUAGUUGGUGAGGUAACGGCUCACCAAGGCAACGAUGCGUAGCCGACCUGAGAGGGUGAUCGGCCACACGGGGGCUGAGACACGGCCCAGACUCCUACGGGAGGCAGCAGUAGGGAGUCUUCCGCAAUGGACGAAAGUCUGACGGAGCAACGCCGCGUGAGUGAUGAAGGCUUUCGGGUCGUAAAACUCUGUUGUUAGGGAAGAACAAGUGCUAGUUGAAUAAGCUGGCACCUUGACGGUACCUAACCAGAAAGCCACGGCUAACUACGUGCCAGCCGCCGCCGUAA